rnacentral:lncRNA from 1 species
GAGACAGCAGAUGUUACAUGCUUCACAUGGGUAAAAAUAGGCAUUUCUACUGAGAGGGUCAUCCUUUUAUUAAAAUAUCCUUUCAUCUUCCUGUCUGAUGUAGAAGUCACAUUUUCAGUGUUAUAGAUGAAAGGAACAUAAUGUUUUCAAUAGGAAGGAUACUCAGGAAUUUCUCUUUUGCUUAACGUGAGUUCCCUGGAACUAACACAAAUAUAAAAAGCUGUAAUAAAACUGCAAAUAAAUACUUUUACAUUUUCUCCUACCUUCAGCAAAACCAUAGAGCCUUUCCCUGUGCCCCUCACCUAAAAACACUGGUUCACAACAACAGUCAAUCAUCUCUUUUAUAUUUACAACACACCAUCUCAUUAAAUAACGUUUGGCAGUUAGGACUGAGUUAAUCUCGAAGCAAAGCCUGAAGGAUUUCUGUGUUUAUAGUCAGAGGUGCUAGACUGCAUUUGCAGUGCUGAAAUUGUUGCUGGGGAAAGCAAAAACUUCCACACAAAUAAUAACAUAUGCCUUGUUGUUCUUGAGACAACAUCAGAGAAAUAAAACAUAGGAUUUGUUCCCCUCCCUCUGAGUGAAAGAAGCCUAAUUUUUCAUGUGAUCAAAAAUAAACAAUUUUAAGAGAGACCCUAGCCCCAGAUCAUCAUUUAUUAGAAUACAAUAAAGAAAUACUACUGUCUGUAAUGCACUGAAGUAUCUGCAAAACUGAAACAAGAGCAUGGGUUUUGAAUUGCUGAUAAAUUUCUGUAGUUGCACAAAGCAAGCCUUGACUUCCAUCAUGUUCUACUUGCAGGCAAAGCCUCCAGAAUCUGGGCUAUUAUUUCUAAGUGGUGUCUGUAUGAUCCUGACUACAUUUUGGUUAUAUUGCAGAGAUCUAAAAAUGCAUUGCAUCUGUCUUUUGAACUAUCAGAACAUGAAGCAUAGACAAAUCAAAGAGGCAGGUGAAGUGAAAUUCAGUAAAGAACUGUAUUUCUAUAAUAAAUCAACAGCCUCAAUAGAAAAAUGAAACAAUUUUUUGACUGAAAAAAGUAAGUGGUAGCUGACUUUUGCCCUCUUGCCCUUAUACAGCUCAUAAUGUUGAGAUUAAACAAUUAAACGCCUCAUUCUGCAAACCUGCUGUGUGAAUUCAGUAAUCAAAUCAGGAGUUCAAAGUGCAUUCUUUAAAAACAAGCCCCUCAAUACAGACUGAAACCUAUUGAGCUACACACAUUAGAGAUGGCUUAAAUAAAUCUAUAGAGAUGGUACUACA